UUUCGGCAACGUUGUGCCUUACUGGUGGUUCCAUCUCCUAUAUGCCCCUCUGAUGCCUCUUUCUUUGCCACCUGAAAACAAUCCACAAACAUCAGAAAAAAAGAAGAAGGAGAAACCAUUGCAAUUUGCGUACCGUUUGCCGGUGUCAAAGAGCUAGAAUGAAUUUAGCCGCGAAAGCAAAUCAAAUUCUAAAUUCAAAUUAAAACGUCGGGGGAUUAAUUGCGCACAAUUAAAAGCAAUGCCUAGUGGAAGCCAGAGCGGGAUUUCUGGUCUCAUUAAAACAGAGUUCAAGCAACUUUUGUGUAACCAUAAAAAUAGCAAAAACCGAACAAAAGGCGAAAGCCCAGGGAGGAGCAGGGCUCCGGCUCCAGCUCCAGCUCCGGCUCCGGCUCCGGGCCAAAAUCAAACCAUCAAAGUGUCGCAAUUUCAGGCGCGAUGAACUCGACUCUGUCUCUGGUGGAGGGCGUCUCUCUCUCUGGCUCUGGCUCUGACUCUAUCUCUGGCUCUGACUCUGUGGCUGUUCGAGUCUUUUGGUUAAUGGGCAUUCGGCGGCGCAAUUUACAUAAAAAACGCAGUCGCAGUCGCAGCCGCAGCCGCAGCCCAAGCGUCUCAAGGUGUGGGCCGACACAUCCACCAGAUACUCGCACUCACACUCGCUUUCCUAGUCAACAUAUUUUAUGUAAUUUGUCUUUGUUUCGUGUAAUAAAACGAAAAUAAAAUUGUGAA